rnacentral:rRNA from 1 species
UGAGGAAUUUUGCGCAAUGGGGGAAACCCUGACGCAGCAACGCCGCGUGAGUGAAGAAGGCCCUCGGGUCGUAAAGCUCUGUCAAGUGGGAAGAACCCUUCGAAGGUUAACAGCCUUUGGAGCUGACGGUACCACUGAAGGAAGCACCGGCUAACUCCGUGCCAGCAGCCGCGGUAAUACGGAGGGUGCAAGCGUUAUUCGGAAUUACUGGGCGUAAAGGGCGCGCAGGCGGCCUGUUAAGUCAGCUGUGAAAGCCCGGGGCUCAACCCCGGAAGUGCGACUGAAACUGGCAGGCUUGAGUAUGGUAGAGGGAAGUGGAAUUCCUGGUGUAGCGGUGAAAUGCGUAGAUAUCAGGAGGAACACCAGUGGCGAAGGCGACUUCCUGGACCAAUACUGACGCUGAGGCGCGAAGGUGUGGGGAGCAAACA